ACCGGAUGCGGAUCUCGAAAGCCUGUCCCAGUUCGGACUGGAGUCUGCAACCCGACUCCACGAAGUUGGAUUCGCUAGUAAUCGCGCAUCAGCCAUGGCGCGGUGAAUACGUUCCCGGGCCUUGUACACACCGCCCGUCAAGCCAUGGGAGCCCGGGCGCCUGAAGUCCGGGACCGCGAGGACCGGCCUAGGGCGAAACUGGUAACUGGGGCUAAGUCGUAACAAGGUACC
rnacentral:rRNA from 1 species